GAGGCCAAAGAUAUUUCAAGGGAAAAGGUUCCAUAUGUAGUGUCUAUCAAAGAGGCAGGCAAUCACAUUUAUAGUGGUACAAUAUUACGUGGCAAUUGGGUUUUGACAUCUCCGCAAUUUGUUUAUGAUAAACAACCGAAGGACCUGCUUGUUGUCAUGGGAACAGUUGACAAAACAGAUUCAAAGGCUUUAAGUGUUCACGUAAAGAAAAUAAAAGUUCACCCGAACUACGAUUACAUGGAUUUCGCGUAUUUCUUUGCGCUUUUGAAGACUAAAGAGGAUAUAUCGUACAGCAAACUCGUGUUACCGAUUGAACUUCCCACAGCUGAAACUAUACCUGCUGAAAAUUUAUUAGCCUUUGGAUGGAAGCUCAAAGGGG